CAGGGCUUGAAGCAGCUCUCUUAUUUAGUAGGUGGUGAAGGCCUUAGAGGAGAGUGGCAGGAAAGAGAGAGAGGUGGUCUCCUGGGAUUUCUGCAGCCUGUGGUAUGUGCUGGCCUGCUAUGGCAAGCAGGGGAGACUGGGCUACCUACAGCAUUCUGAUGGAGGAGCAGGAAGGAAUACAGAAGGUGCACUGGGCUUCUGUUUUAAGCACGCACAACACACUCGAAUAA
rnacentral:lncRNA from 12 species